rnacentral:rRNA from 1 species
GNAAUUAUUGGGCGUAAAGCGCGCGCAGGCGGAUCAGUCAGUCUGUCUUAAAAGUUCGGGGCUUAACCCCGNGAUGGGAUGGAAACUGCUGAUCUAGAGUAUCGGAGAGGAAAGUGGAAUUCNUAGUGUAGCGGUGAAAUGCGUAGAUAUUAGGAAGAACACCAGUGGNGAAGGCGACUUUCUGGACGAAAACUGACGCUGAGGCGCGAAAGCCAGGGGAGCGAACGGGAUUAGAUACCCCGGUAGCCCUGGCCGUAAACGAUGGGUACUAGGUGUAGGAGGUAUCGACCCCUUCUGUGCCGGAGUUAACGCAAUAAGUACCCCGCCUGGGGAGUACGACCGCAAGGUUGAAACUCAAAGGAAUUGACGGGGGCCCGCACAAGCGGUGGAGUAUGUGGUUUAAUUCGACGCAACGCGAAGAACCUUACCAGGUCUUGACAUUGAUGGACAGAACCAGAGAUGGUUCCUCUUCUUCGGAAGCCAGAAAACAGGUGGUGCACGGUUGUCGUCAGCUCGUGUCGUGAGAUGUUGGGUUAAGUCCCGCAACGAGCGCAACCCCUAUCUUAUGUUGCCAGCACUUUGGGUGGGGACUCAUGAGAGACUGCCGCAGACAAUGCGGAGGAAGGCGGGGAUGACGUCAAAUCAUCAUGCCCCUUAUGACCUGGGCUACACACGUACUACGAUGGGAGUUAAUAGACGGAAGCGAGAUCGCGAGAUGGAGCAAACCCGAGAAACACUCUCUCAGUUCGGAUCGUAGGCUGCAACUCGCCUACGUGAAGUCGGAAUCGCUAGUAAUCGCAGGUCAGCAUACUGCGGUGAAUACGUUCCCGGGCCUUGUACACACCGCCCGUCACACCACGAAAGUCGGAAGUGCCCAAAGCCGGUGGGGUAACCUUCGGGAGC